GCCCGGAUAGCUCAGUCGGUAGAGCAGAGGAUUGAAAAUCCUCGUGUCGGUGGUUCGAUUCCGCCU
rnacentral:tRNA from 2 species